rnacentral:rRNA from 1 species
UGGGGAAUAUUGCACAAUGGACGGAAGUUUGAUGCAGCGACGCCGCGUGGAGGGUGUAGGCCUUCGGGUUGUGAACUCCUUUUUCUCGCGAAAAAGGCACAGUUUUGGCUGUGUUGAUGGUAGUGGGGGAAGAAGCGCCGGCUAACUACGUGCCAGCAGCCGCGGUAAUACGUAGGGCGCGAGCGUUGUCCGGAUUUAUUGGGCGUAAAGAGCUCGUAGGUGGUUCGUCGCGUCUGUCGUGAAAGCCAGCAGCUUAACUGUUGGUCUGCGGUGGGUACGGGCGGGCUUGAGUGCGGUAGGGGUGACUGGAAUUCCAGGUGUAGCGGUGGAAUGCGCAGAUAUCAGGAGGAACACCGAUGGCGAAGGCAGGUCACUGGGCCGUUACUGACACUGAGGAGCGAAAGCGUGGGGAGCGAACAGG